rnacentral:rRNA from 1 species
CGAACGCUGGCGGCGUGCUUAACACAUGCAAGUCGCACGGCAAGGCCCUGCUUUUGUGGGGUGCUCGAGUGGCGAACGGGUGAGUAACACGUGAGUAACCUGCCCUUGACUUUGGGAUAACUUCAGGAAACUGGGGCUAAUACCGGAUAGGAGCUCCUGCUGCAUGGUGGGGGUUGGAAAGUUUCGGCGGUUGGGGAUGGACUCGCGGCUUAUCAGCUUGUUGGUGGGGUAGUGGCUUACCAAGGCUUUGACGGGUAGCCGGCCUGAGAGGGUGACCGGCCACAUUGGGACUGAGAUACGGCCCAGACUCCUACGGGAGGCAGCAGUGGAGAAUAUUGCACAAUGGGCGGAAGCCUGAUGCAGCAACGCCGCGUGCGGGAUGACGGCCUUCGGGUUGUAAACCGCUUUCGCCUGUGACGAAGCGUGAGUGACGGUAAUGGGUAAAGAAGCACCGGCUAACUACGUG